rnacentral:rRNA from 1 species
CCUACGGGAGGCAGCAGUGGGGAAUCUUGGACAAUGGGGGCAACCCUGAUCCAGCCAUGCCGCGUGAGUGAAGAAGGCCCUAGGGUCGUAAAACUCUUUCGCCUGUGAUGAUAAUGACAGUAGCAGGUAAAGAAACCCCGGCUAACUCCGUGCCAGCAGCCGCGGUAAUACGGAGGGGGUUAGCGUUGUUCGGAAUUACUGGGCGUAAAGCGCACGUAGGCGGAUUAGAAAGUUAGAGGUGAAAUCCCGGGGCUCAACCCCGGAACUGCCUUUAAAACUACUAGUCUAGAGUUCGAGAGAGGUGAGUGGAAUUCCGAGUGUAGAGGUGAAAUUCGUAGAUAUUCGGAGGAACACCAGUGGCGAAGGCGGCUCACUGGCUCGACACUGACGCUGAGGUGCGAAAGUGUGGGGAGCAAACAGGAUUAGAUACCCUGGUAGUCCACACCGUAAACGAUGAAUGCCAGUCGUCGGGUAGUAUACUAUUCGGUGACACACCUAACGGAUUAAGCAUUCCGCCUGGGGAGUACGGUCGCAAGAUUAAAACUCAAAUGAAUUGACGG